rnacentral:rRNA from 1 species
UUGCCUACGGGGCGCAGCAGUGAGGAAUAUUGGUCAAUGGGCGGAAGCCUGAACCAGCCAAGUCGCGUGAGGGAAUAAGGCCCUACGGGUCGUAAACCUCUUUUGCCGGGGAGCAAGGGCCGGGACGAGUCCCGGUCCGGAGAGUACCCGGAGAAAAAGCAUCGGCUAACUCCGUGCCAGCAGCCGCGGUAAUACGGAGGAUGCGAGCGUUAUCCGGAUUUAUUGGGUUUAAAGGGUGCGUAGGCGGGCUUUUUCGUCCGC